rnacentral:lncRNA from 12 species
UGUUUUUCAUACCAACACAAACCUGUGACUGCCAAUUGGAUCAUAAGGGGAGUGGAAGUUGGAACUCUACUGGAAGUAUGGAAUGGCACAUCCUAAAAACAGAAGUGUAACAGUACCUAACAUCACUGAGAGUACAUAUCAUUCAGGAGUCUAUGAUGACAAUGCUCAGGUAACUCAGGGAAAAACAGAAAACAAAAUGAGACAUAAGGACUUGAAAACACAGCUGGAGAUACCCAGAGCACAAGAAAUGUUCACAGCUCUGAAUGGUAGAAAUUAAUACCAGAGACAGAAAUCCUAUCACUGAAGCCACAG